UACAGAGGGUGCAAGCGUUGUUCGGAAUUACUGGGCGUAAAGCGCGUGUAGGCGGUUUAGUAAGUCGGUUGUGAAAUCCCUUGGCUUAACCAAGGAACUGCAUCCGAAACUGCUAGGCUAGAGUAUCGGAGGGGGUGGCGGAAUUCCCGGUGUAGAGGUGAAAUUCGUAGAUAUCGGGAGGAACACCUGUGGCGAAGGCGGCCACCUGGAAGAUUACUGACGCUGAGACGCGAAAGCGUGGGGAGCAAACAGG
rnacentral:rRNA from 1 species